UUUAUUAGAGCGUUUUCACUCCACCGCUGCCCUCAUCGUCAUUCUGUCUCCUCCUCCUCUCAUCCUCUUACUCCCCUUCAUCAUUGCCGCUGCCGUCAUUGCCAUUCUCUUCAAUUCUUGUGAGUUUUGAUUGAGCGAGGCGAUUUGAGGGGACUCUCUGCUCUUUCUCAAACUAGACAGCAAAGCUGCUUGUUGAUGCUUCUCAAUCAUCCGAACGACCAGUAUCUCUAACUCGCUUUGGAAUUUUCUUGGAGGUUCAUUUUGCUUCAUUCGUUUGGUCAUGAUCGAUUUUUGUUCCAACAGCUCUUGCUUAUUUUUGACUUUUGCUUAUUCUGUGUGUGGGCAUGUCCUCACUGAUUUAUUGGAGUUGGUUUUGGUUGCUGAGAGAAAAGAAAGAGAGAGAUAGAAACCAAAAAGAAGAGGCCAAUUUGCCAAUUGGGCUAUAAAAAUUUGAUGGUUUGUGAAAUUCAAUGUUGAAUUGAUGUGUUUUUGA
rnacentral:lncRNA from 1 species